CUCAGUCCCUCUCAGUUGCCCCUGUAGGUGCUGACAAGUACUGGAGUCUCUUACAAACGCUGGGACUGGGGAAAGCAGAUUCCCAGAGAGCAAGCGUGCAAACACCAGGGCCCAGAGUUCUGGUGGACGGUGCUAACGGCGAUAAGAUGCCGCAUCUCACGAAGAUGAAGGAACGUGUCUACUUUUUCAGAUCUACAGUUUCUCCGGCACUUGCUUUGGACGGUGACGGGACACAUGCAUACUUAAAAGAUAAAAACAGGUUCCCCGGAAGCUCUGAAGAUGGUCAAUUCCUGUCCUCAAAAAGUUUAUGAUGAAGGGUAGGAAACAUUGGCAUGACUGCCUACUAAUGGUGCCUCCAGCUUCCAUCUGGGAGAAAGCAAGGACCCGGUGUUCCAAGACAGCAAGGAGUGGGAGGUGGAGAAGCCCCCGGCACAACUCUGACCCGGAUACAGCCCUGAUCCGAAUUGUUGCAAGUGAGGCUGAACUCAUUCCUUCCUGUCCCCCUAGUGUGACACGGGGGUCACCCAGCUAGCAGUGGAAGUGACUCAGAAGCCUUCCGAUUCACAAUGAUGUGUAAGUGGAGAGAACAUUCAU